UGGGGAAUAUUGGACAAUGGGGGCAACCCUGAUCCAGCCAUGCCGCGUGAGUGAAGAAGGCCUUAGGGUUGUAAAGCUCUUUCAGUCGUGACGGUGAUGACGGUAGCGACAGAAGAAGCCCCGGCUAACUCCGUGCCAGCAGCCGCGGUAAUACGGAGGGGGUUAGCGUUGUUCGGAAUUACUGGGCGUAAAGCGCGCGUAGGCGGACUGGAAAGUUGGGGGUGAAAUCCCGGGGCUCAACCCCGGAACUGCCUUCAAAACUCCCAGUCUUGAGUUCGAGAGAGGUGAGUGGAAUUCCGAGUGUAGAGGUGAAAUUCGUAGAUAUUCGGAGGAACACCAGUGGCGAAGGCGGCUCACUGGCUCGAUACUGACGCUGAGGUGCGAAAGCGUGGGGAGCAAACAGGAUUAGAUACCCCCGUAGUCC
rnacentral:rRNA from 1 species